GCUGGCGCACACAUACGUGUAGUUUGGUGUGUUUGCGUGAUCCUGCGUUUGCAGCGGUUUCUCCCGCAGACACGUGACUUCGCCCGUCGGCCCCGCCGGGACCCGAGCGCGGACUCACCUCUCCACCAGUACUUCUGGCUGAUGCAGUCCCAGCAAGAGCGGGAGCCUUGACUUGAACUCCUGACCCCUCAGGUGGACGACUGGCUCAGCGCCGCCCCCUUGGAAUGAACAGGAUCAUUCUUCAUCCGGCCGAAAUGAAGACGGGGAGGAGGAAGCCGGACAAUAUAUCCCGGGACAAUAUAUUUUCUCCCCGGCCCAGGAAGGAGGCGUGCACCACAGGGACAGCGGGGCUCUGCGGACCGGAGGCCUCUGCAGGCGUGUGGCUGGCCACCGGCCACCGGCCACCGGCUCAGGGGACAGCUGUGUCGCUGUGGGGUGUUGGCCCCGUGCCCCGAGACAGCAGUUGCCAUAAACAAACAGCGCUGAAAGCCACUGGCCCGGGCCCCAGCUCUUUUCAAGACAGUGCAGCGUGUCUGCUGACCUUCAGCCACUUCACCUCGUGAAGUUCAAACGGCUUCUAACUCACUUUGGAGAGUGGAGCUGGUGACAAAGUGCAGCUGGUCCUGUCCGACUAAGGCUGAGCGGCUCCUGGACGCGGUCCUUCACAUUCUCUCUGGUACUGGGCAGAAAAACACCGUCCACACAGAAGAACCAUUUAAGUCAUUCAUGACUGAGGCAGAGAAUUCAGACAGCUUGUCAUUACUUGAAUAAAAUAAGUUGAAUGUCUCUAA